rnacentral:rRNA from 1 species
CCUACGGGAGGCAGCAGUGGGGAAUUUUGCGCAAUGCUCGUAAGAGUGACGCAGCGACGCCGCGUGAAUGACGAAGGCCUUCGGGGCUUAAAAUUCUUUCUACAGGGGAGAAAAUGCCUAUAAGUGACUGUGUAUGUAUUGACGGUACCUGUAUAAGCAGCCCCGGCUAACGCCGUGCCAGCAGCCGCGGUAAUACGGAGGGGGCUAGCGUUGUUCGGAGGGACUGGGCGUAAAGAGCACGUAGGCGGUGUUGUAAGUCAUUAGUAAAAGACUAGAGCUCAACUUUAGUAAGGCUAGUGAUACUAUCAUUCUAGAGUACCAGAGAGGAUUGCAGCAUUCCUGGUGUAGCGGUGAAAUGCUUAGAUAUCAGGAGGAAUACCGUUAGCGAAGGCGGCAAUCUGGCUGGAAACUGACGCUGAGGUGCGAAAGCGUGGGUAGCAAACAGGAUUAGAUACCCGAGUAGUC